UACGGGGGGGGGCAAGCGUUGUUCGGAAUUACUGGGCGUAAAGCGCGCGUAGGCGGACCUGCAAGUCGGGGGUGAAAGCCCGAGGCUCAACCUCGGAACUGCCUUCGAUACUGCGGGUCUCGAGUCCGGGAGAGGUGAGUGGAAUUCCUAGUGUAGAGGUGAAAUUCGUAGAUAUUAGGAAGAACACCAGUGGCGAAGGCG
rnacentral:rRNA from 1 species